GUGUUGAGUGUACCUUUCGAAUAAGCACCGGCUAACUACGUGCCAGCAGCCGCGGUAAUACGUAGGGUGCAAGCGUUAUCCGGAAUUAUUGGGCGUAAAGGGCUCGUAGGCGGUUCGUCGCGUCCGGUGUGAAAGUCCAUCGCUUAACGGUGGAUCCGCGCCGGGUACGGGCGGGCUUGAGUGCGGUAGGGGAGACUGGAAUUCCCGGUGUAACGGUGGAAUGUGUAGAUAUCGGGAAGAACACCAAUGGCGAAGGCAGGUCUCUGGGCCGUUACUGACGCUGAGGAGCGAAAGCGUGGGGAGCGAACAGGAUUAGAUACCCUGGUAGUCCACGCCGUAAACGGUGGAUGCUGGAUGUGGGGCCCGUUCCACGGGUUCCGUGUCGGAGCUAACGCGUUAAGCAUCCCGCCUGGG
rnacentral:rRNA from 1 species